rnacentral:siRNA from 1 species
CACGGGUUAGCCCAGAAUCCG